rnacentral:lncRNA from 1 species
GGGAGCCGGCCCGGGAGUCUCGGAGUCUCCUGGCAGGGAGGCGGGCGGUGAUCAAGUUGGGGAGUCUACCGUUGCCUCCGUUGCGUUGCUCCUAGCGGCAGGCCGCCCCUGCGAGACUGUAGGACCGGCAGUACUGCGCGCGCAGCCCUCGCUGGCCCGCCGACUCUUCAGGCCCCGUGAACCUCCGGGGGCGGCGGGAGCGCGGGGCCGAGGAGCCCGGUGCGUGCGGACGGGCUGCGGCGGGGCGGCCGCCGGGACGCCAUGUCCAUGGAGGACCCCUUCUUUGUGGUGAAAGGGUUUGGCCCACCUGUUGUCUUCCGUCUGAAUUCCUCUCUUCCCAGAUUGGAUGCAGAAUGGAAUACAGGUUCCAAAUGUCUCCCCUACCCCGCUUUCAAUGGAAGUACAGACCUUUGUGGUUUUUAAAAGGUUUUUACUAAUAGAAGUUGCAAGGAAUCAGGAAGAGUUUUAAAUAAGAGCCAAUCAAGCUUUCAGUGACUGAUCAAGCCCUCUUCUACUCAAGUCCACCGGUUUCCCCAGGUUCUCCUUAGUGAUUCAUCCUUCAGGUAACCACAGAGGAAUAAUUUUUCAGAAUCUUACAGUUAUAACAACAACAAACAUUUCUUUAUA